rnacentral:snoRNA from 1 species
GGUCAGUGAUGAGUACAAGAAGGGUCUGAGUGCACUGGGUUAUUGCACUCCCAUUACCCUUUUGGCUCCCAGCAGUCUCUUUCUACCAUCAUACUCUAGCAAUGCUGUGAUUGGGCAAGAGGCUGCUGACAACUUGCGAUAAGCUCAGAUCCUGUUAUCCACAGUAUAAGGAAACAUGGCACUGACUCAUCCAACAGAACCAAUCAAGGAGUUCUGGGUUUUGGGUUGUGUCUUGUGCAUGAUCUCAAGUUUUCAAGCUGAGACC